rnacentral:rRNA from 1 species
UACGUAGGGUGCGAGCGUUAAUCGGAAUUACUGGGCGUAAAGCGUGCGCAGGCGGUCUGUUAAGCCCGAUGUGAAAUCCCCGGGCUUAACCUGGGAACUGCAUUGGUGACUGGCAGGCUUUGAGUGUGGCAGAGGGAGGUAGAAUUCCACGUGUAGCAGUGAAAUGCGUAGAGAUGUGGAGGAAUACCGAUGGCGAAGGCAGCCUCCUGGGCCAACACUGACGCUCAUGCACGAAAGCGUGGGGAGCAAACAGG